UAUUAGAUAGCAUAAAGUAGAAGUAGGUCAGAAAAGGUCACCAUCAUCGUUAUCGUUUUGCAAUCAGAAUGUCUAAGGGAGGAGGAAUCUUGAAGAAACUGUUUAUGAACUAUAAAGCUGUAUUAAAAGGAGCCAGAACAAACGGAAUACUGAAAGGAAAUGAUCAUUUUGGAAAUAAAUAUUUUGAGAAAGAGUAUAAUGAUAAAAAACGUCGACCAUCUCGAUGGAUAGAAGCAGAAGACGAGGAUCAAUCCAGGGUACCAGAUGUACCAACAGAAUGGGACGCUUGGUUAAGAUUAAAAAGACAGGACCCCCCCACACAAGAGGAGGUGGAUAGAAAUUAUAUGUUAAUGCUGAAAACACAAAAGAGAGCAGAAGAUUUAAAAACUAAGGACUUGGAAAGUCGUUUACCUGCGGCUAAUGAUAGUGAACAAAAACAUAUUACAACUAAUGUUGAACCUGAACAAGAUCGCACGCAGUUUCCUACAUACGAUGAUUUAGAAGUAAAACCAGGCACCUUUAUUAAAGAUAGCAAAAACUAAGACUGUGAUAGAACUGUCUAAUGUUGACAAUGUGAUGAAUCAUACCCCUGUGUAACGUUAACAAUGUGAUGAAUCAUACCCCUGUGUAACGUUAACGUUGAUGGUUGAAGUUACACAUGUACAUGUAACUUUAGUAAUGAAGGUAUACCAGAGGUUAGAUAUAAAAACAAAACAUCAAUCCAUCAGGGGUGCGUCGUAACGACUUGGACAGGAACACUACCACCCACUUGAAUUACUGAACAAUGGAUGGUUAGAAUUAAAGAUUACCUUCUGUAGCCUUGCUGAACGGCUGUUUUGGUAUUCAAUUUAC